rnacentral:rRNA from 1 species
UACGAAGGGUGCAAGCGUUACUCGGAAUUACUGGGCGUAAAGCGUGCGUAGGUGGUUGCUUAAGUCUGCUGUGAAAGCCCUGGGCUCAACCUGGGAAAUGCAGUGGAUACUGGGCGACUAGAGUAAGGUAGAGGAUAGUGGAAUUUCCGGUGUAGCAGUGAAAUGCGUAGAGAUCGGAAGGAACAUCUGUGGCGAAGGCGACUAUCUGGGCCAUUACUGACACUGAGGCACAAAAGCGUGGGGAGCAAAC